rnacentral:rRNA from 1 species
GUGCCAGCAGCCGCGGUAAUUCCAGCUCCAAUAGCGUAUAUUAAAGUUGUUGUGGUUAAGAAGCCCGUAGUUGAACCUUGGGCCUGGGUGGCCGGUCCGCCUCACCGCGUGCACUGGUCCGGCCGGGCCUUUCCCUCUGUGGAACCCCAUACCCUUCACUGGGCGUGGCGGGGAAACAGGACAUUUACUUUGAAAAAAUUAGAGUGCUCCAGGCAGGCCUAUGCUCGAAUACAUUAGCAUGGAAUAAUAAAAUAGGACGCGCGGUUCUAUUUUGUUGGUUUAUAGGACCGGCGUAAUGAUUAAUAGGGACAGUCGGGGGCAUCAGUAUUCAACUGUCAGAGGUGAAAUUCUUGGAUCAGGUGAAGACUAACUACUGCGAAAGCAUUUUGCCAAGGGAUGUUUUUCAUUAAUCAGGAACGAAAGUUAGGGGGAGCGGAAGACGAUCAGAU